UAGGAAAGGUAUUAAAAGAGGGAUAGAUGCUCAUCUGUGUUUAUUUUUUCCCUUAGGGAAUAUGGUUACAUCAGAGAACAAAUCAAAUCCUUAAACACAGAGAAAAACAACAACAAACAUUCACUAGGAAAUGAUGAAAAUUAAUAGACACACGCAUUUGUUAGAGAAACUGUCUGCUUAUGCCAGUAUUCAACAAACCAGAUAUAACUUGCAAAAAACUGACCUGUUGAUUGCCCUAAUAUAAUAUAAG
ensembl:lincRNA